UACGUAGGGGGCUAGCGUUGUCCGGAAUCAUUGGGCGUAAAGCGCGUGUAGGCGGUCCGGUAAGUCCGCUGUGAAAGUCGGGGGCUCAACCCUCGAAUGCCGGUGGAUACUGUCGGGCUAGAGUGCGGAAGAGGCGAGUGGAAUUCCUGGUGUAGCGGUGAAAUGCGCAGAUAUCGGGGAGGAACACCAGUGGCGAAGGCGGCACUCUGGGCCGGUACUGACGCUGAGGAGCGAAAGCGUGGGGAGCAAACAGG
rnacentral:rRNA from 1 species